CUUAUUUCGUAUUUUAUUCAUUCAAAGUGUUAUUUUUCUUUUUUUUUUCUUUUUUGCUCUUUGCCUCCCCUCAGAAAGGCUGGCUGCCAAAUGUCUUCUGCCUGCCUCCGCAUUCUGCUGUCUUUCCUUCGAUCAGAUAUUUCUCUCAGUCACUCGAGGCAGACACUCUGAGCUAUAUCCUAAACUUGAGACAUGGAGAGAAAUGAAAAUAGAGGACAUGCAUGAAAAACAUUUACAAAAUGCCACGGAAGUUCCUCUGAAAGUGUGAAUACUGCAGGUCCAUCCUUCAGGCAGAAUUGAUUAUUUCACUGUGGCCAUUGUGCUAAAACUGCACCUCUAAGUCCCUCUGAAAGGAGGAGUCCAGCAAAGAGUGAAAUCCUUGAAGGUAGUCUUGCAAUGAAGAAUUUGUUGUCUCAGUAGUUGAGAUUCUUUUGGUCCUUUUUUCAACAGAAGAAGACCAAGUCAGAAAGUGAUUGGGCCUUCAGGAAGAUAGUUGUUAACUGUUUCCAGUAUACGGCUGGCAAAAUCACCUUUUCAGGAAAGUGAAAUCAAGAACUUUCUCUUCUCUCUCUGCUAAAAUACUACUAAAGGUUAUUAAAGACCUCAGCAAUGAAAAUUCUCCUGAAAGAAGAGGACAGAACUUCAAAGGAAAAUGAAAUUCCUGAUUAAAUUCAGCUGGGAUACUGGCUUCUUAAAAACCCCCUUUUACACAAAGAAAGAAGUGACCUUGCUUCCUCCAGAGUCUUAGCCAGUCUUGCUCCUUCCACAAGCUGCCUUAAGGCAUGUGUGCCUUAUACAUGCAGCCAUGUAGAGUGCAAGAGAAUAGUUUAUCCUACAACCCUAACAAAGUGUUCUGGGAAACAGAACUUAAGACUGGAUCUGGAGUCGACGUGGACACAGGUGGAGCUACAGUGGAGCCUGUUUAACAGCAGCACAACUCUUAAAGAUGACCUAAAUUGUACUACCAAGAUCUUUUUUUUUGCCCUUUUUUACAUCAAUGGCAUAGUCUAGUGACAACUAAAAAAUAUAUAGACCACCUUGGUAUGCAAGUAAAAUGCUUCAUAAGAACCUCGGAGACUGGAAUAAAUUACGGUGGAAGAUGGGGGAAUUGCUUCCUGGGGGCUUCAAGAACAGCAUCUUCAGGAGUUUUGGACAAACAUCUGCAUCUGUUAGGCCAUAGGUGGAGGUGAUCCUACCCAGAUAAGGAGAUGUAGAUUUGAUAAUCGCUCAGGAGUCAUAUGACUUGUUUGCCAGAUGUCAGUAGUGACAUUUCAGGUCACUUAACGUGAAGUUCUCAAAUGACUGGUGCAAAUGCUGAACUGUGUCUUUCUGCCUGGAUAUUAAAGAUCUGUAUUUCUUGCCAGUAUCAAGUGCAGAAAGCUGUUGUUCCGGUGUUUUGUCCCAGAGAGGGAUACGUUCCCUUAGCACCAUAUGUUUUGAGGUUGGGCAAAGCAUAAAAGGAAAAUCAUAAGGGGCUAUAUUUCUGCCUGGUCCUUAGUGAGAUCAUGAAGGGUCUCACAAAAGAUAAAUAUAAGCCACUUUGUUAUGCAUUUUCUUAACAUUAUAUUUGUGUUUAGCCCAUUCUGAACAAUGCAGGCAGGAAAACAAGAAGACUGACUUUGGUCUUAAGUCACUUGAAUUGCCACUGAAAGCACAUUUUCUGUGCCUUUUCAUUCCUACCAAAUGUUUCCUAAGUUUGCAGAGCACCAAGCACAGCAAGGCCUUGGUCCAUGACUAUUAACUUCGACCACUAUCGCAAUGCAAGUAAUACACAGCAGUAAUUUGUUGUGAAGCGGCAGAUCCAUGCUGUAUCAGUGAUACCCUGAGAAACGCAGGCGCGGUUUCAAAGCAGAAAUCGGAGUUGGCACACGGCCAGGCUGCUGGAGCCGUGCUCUGCUCGCUGUGAAAUGCGCCGUUUCUCUCAGAGGGGAGACGGUGGCACCUACUGAACGUGCUGUUUGACCAGCCACUUCUGCCUUGUUUCUAUACGUGGAAAAAACACUUCACACAUAAAGAUAUCUUGUGUUUGCUGACUGCAUUGUCACAAGAAGUUUCUUUUCAGCAGCGAAGAGCACCGAUUCAGAACUGUGAAUGCUGGAACCCCUCCAUAAUAAACUAGACUCUCCAGGAGAAAGAUAUUUCGAUAAAAAGCAAUCCAGAAUGUCUUCAGGCCUAGAAAUAACACAAGCUUCUCUCACACAUCUCUUCGCAUAUUGUCCAGGUACCUGUGGCUCCUCUCUCAAAGCCUGGAAGGAAGGUGGUCAUUUGCCCAGUCCAGUGGGGGCACGAGAGUCAUGAGCCCCCGCGACCACCCUCGCACCAGCUCCUCACAGCACAACCGGCUCCAUUCUCAUGGGCAAACGCAUCCGAAGACGUCCGGUGUGGACAGUGCGGAAGGGUGGAGCUGCCGGCCUCGCCGACUCAGCAGCGUUUCUGCGCUGUAGUAAAACUGCUACCUGGACGCGGGCGCUGUGGGAAGGCGGGUGCUGGAGGUUGUUCCUGCAGCAUUGUGCCAGGCUGCAAAACCCAGCAGCUGGAUGGUGUCUGUUAAAGAAAGAUUUUACAUUGUGUUGCCUAGAGGCAAAUGUUCAAGCAACAGUUAAAAUGGCUCAACAGCUCAUCCACUAGAAAACAGGGUUUUUUUCCAUAGUUACUUCCCAGUCUUGGAUAUUCAGUCCUACUCACUGCAGAGAUCCAAAACUGGCACAAGAGGCCUCUUAAGUAUUAGGCUGCCCUGUGUGCUUGGCACCAAAUUCAGACAAUUUUGAGAACGGUUCAGAUCUUCUGGAGUUUUUUGUGUGUGUAUGUGUGUAUUCCUUUCCAUAAGAAAGUAGUUCUAUUUUUAGGACUUGGCCCAAAUUGUUGAACCCAGUGGUUUGAGUUUUACUGUUGUUGUUUUUCCUCUCUUCAAUCAAAAUGAAGUGGUUCUGGCUGAUCUAAGCUGAGCAGUAGUGCUGAUUCUCUUAAAGUAAUACUCAAGGAGGUUUUGUGAGUGCAUCUGUGUGUAUAUGUGCAUGGAAAGUUUCUCUACGUUUCCUGAAAUAAAAGGGAUCUUUGGCUCGUCUAUGGUCUGUGCUUGUAAAUGUCUCAACUAAGAUUGUUUUUAUGGAAGACUGUCAAGUGGGGCAGGCCUAAAAUAUAGUAAAGUACAUUUUAUAUUUGAGGCUCAUCUCCCCAGUCUCUUCUGUUUUCUUUCUUGCUGCAGCUGUAUACCAUGCAUUGUCUAGUGUUUCAGUCGAUAAUCAGAUUUGUCUUCAGCCUUUACAGAUACCAGAAAACCCAAUUUUUAUCACCCGUGGAAAGUCAGAGAGCAUAACUAAAUCAUGACCAGAGCAGUGAUUGACACCACUCACCUUUGGCUACAGAGCAUGUGUGUGUCUUGACUACCCAAGGAUGAGAAAAAGUAUAGCUUCCUCUGCGUGGUGAUAUGCUUAGGCUAAUUAGUUUUUUUAGCCUUGCUGCUUUCAGGACUCAAGGGAUUAUGGUUAACAUGGAGAGCUACCCCUCUCUCCACUUUGUGUGUAGUGUAGGAAGUUGUCAUUUGCUCUCUCUUUGUCUUGGAGGGGCUGCCCUUCUGUUGCGCAGGGUGUCCGAGCAGAGAGGAGGACAAGUGCCAUCGCUUGCUGAUUUGGGAACUUUCCAAAGAAAUAGAGAAGGGCAGAUCUGAGCUCUUCUUCUUCCCCUUCCCAAGUACAAAGGUGAAAACAGUCAGCCACUUCCCACCUAAGUGCACAUGUCCACCAGACGACUCUGGACUGUCCUGUCUUUGCAGAGCGUUGCCAGAUCCCUCCACUCUGUGUUGUAGUUUGGGCUUUGAUUUGAAGAGAGGAAGGUGCCUUCUAAUA